CUUUACUGUAGCCUGGAAUGGGGUUCGGGCUUUGCUUGCGCAGGAUAGGUGGGAGGCUGAGAAGAUUCUCUUGUGGGAGAGUUGGAGCCAACGGUGAGAUACCACUCUGGCGAAGCUAGAAUUCUAACCCAUGACCAUUAUCUGGUCAGGGAACAGUUUCAGGUGGGCAGUUUGACUGGGGCGGUCGCCUCCUAAAAUGUAACGGAGGCGCGCAAAGGUUCCCUCAGGCUGGUUGGAAAUCAGUCGAAGAGUGCAAAGGCAUAAGGGAGCUUGACUGCAAGACCUACAAGUCGAGCAGAGACGAAAGUCGGCCUUAGUGAUCCGACGGCGCUGAAUGGAAGGGCCGUCGCUCAACGGAUAAAAGUUA
rnacentral:rRNA from 1 species